rnacentral:ribozyme from 1 species
ACGAGCACAGAAAGAGAGAGAGAGAUGAACCAAGGUGACUAGAAGACAGUCGUUCAAAAGGAACACAACAAACCUUUCCCAUUUACCUUUCUUUCUUUCCUUUUUUUUUUCUUUCGCCU